UACAGAGGUCUCAAGCGUUGUUCGGAAUCACUGGGCGUAAAGCGCGUGUAGGCGGCCCCACUAAGUCUGAUGUGAAAGCCCGGGGCUCACCCCCCGGAAGUGCAUUGGAAACUGGUGGACUCGAGUCCCGGAGAGGAGAGUGGAAUUCCUGGUGUAGCGGUGAAAUGCGUAGAUAUCAGGAGGAACACCGGUGGCGAAGGCGGCUCUCUGGACGGUGACUGACGCUGAGACGCGAAAGCGUGGGGAGCAAACAGG
rnacentral:rRNA from 1 species